rfam:Lactobacillus diolivorans DSM 14421 NODE_166, whole genome shotgun sequence.
CCACAGCUACAACCGCUCGAUUCGAGCUAUCAAGUUCCUUUUUAAAGGGCGCUUUGUUUCGGCGAGUCUAAGCAAAAAU